rnacentral:rRNA from 1 species
UACGAAGGGGGCUAGCGUUGUUCGGAAUUACUGGGCGUAAAGGGCGCGUAGGCGGCCUGCCAAGUCAGAAGUGAAAGCCCUGGGCUCAACCCGGGAAUUGCUUUUGAAACUGGUAGGCUCGAGUUUGGGAGAGGUGAGUGGAAUAUCCAGUGUAGAGGUAAAAUUCGUAGAUAUUGGAUGGAACACCAGUGGCGAAGGCGGCUCACUGGCCCAAAACUGACGCUGAGGCGCGAAAGCGUGGGGAGCAAACAGGAUUAGAUACCCUGGUAGUCCACGCUGUAAACGAUGAAUGCUAGUUGUUGGAAAGUCUAACUUUUCAGUGACGCCGCUAACGCAUUAAGCAUUCCGCCUGGGGAGUACGGCCGCAAGGUUGAA